UACGUAGGUGGCAAGCGUUGUCCGGAAUUAUUGGGCGUAAAGCGCGCGCAGGCGGUCCUUUAAGUCUGAUGUGAAAGCCCACGGCUCAACCGUGGAGGGUCAUUGGAAACUGGAGGACUUGAGUACAGAAGAGGAAAGCGGAAUUCCACGUGUAGCGGUGAAAUGCGUAGAGAUGUGGAGGAACACCAGUGGCGAAGGCGGCUUCUGGUCUGUAACUGACGCUGAGGCGCGAAAGCGUGGGAGCAAACAGG
rnacentral:rRNA from 1 species